rnacentral:rRNA from 1 species
UGGGGAAUAUUGGACAAUGGGCGAAAGCCUGAUCCAGCCAUGCCGCGUGUGUGAAGAAGGUCUUCGGAUUGUAAAGCACUUUAAGUUGGGAGGAAGGGCAGUAAGCGAAUACCUUGCUGUUUUGACGUUACCGACAGAAUAAGCACCGGCUAACUCUGUGCCAGCAGCCGCGGUAAUACAGAGGGUGCAAGCGUUAAUCGGAAUUACUGGGCGUAAAGCGCGCGUAGGUGGUUCGUUAAGUUGAAUGUGAAAGCCCCGGGCUCAACCUGGGAAACGCAUCCAAAACUGGAGAGCUAGAGUAUGGGCGAGGGUGGUGGAAUUUCCUGUGUAGCGGGGAAAUGCGUAGAUAUAGGAAGGAACACCAGUGGAGAAAGCGACCACCUGGGCUUAUACUGACACUGAGGUGCGAAAGCGUGGGGAGCAAACAGG